GAUGAACGCUAGCGGCAGGCUUAAUACAUGCAAGUCGAGGGGCAGCAUGAUUGUAGCAAUACAAUUGAUGGCGACCGGCAAACGGGUGCGGAACACGUACACAACCUUCCAACAAGUGGGGGAUAGCCCAGAGAAAUUUGGAUUAAUACCCCGUAACAUAGCGAUGUGGCAUCACAUUGCUAUUAUAGAUUUUUCGCUUGUUGAUGGGUGUGCUGCUGAUUAGAUAGUUGGAGGGGUAACGGCCCACCAAGUCUACGAUCAGUAGCUGAUGUGAGAGCAUGAUCAGCGACACCGGCACUGAGACACGGGCCCGACUCCUACGGGAGGCAGAAGUAAGGAAUAUUGGACAAUGGACGCAAGACUGGUCCAGCCAUGCCGCGUGAAGAAUUAAGGUCCUCUGGAUUGUAAACUUCUUUUAUAAGGGAAGAAACGACUCUUGCGAGAGACAUUGACGGUACUGUAUGAAUAAGCACCGGCUAACUCCGUGCCAGCCGCCGCAGUAAUAC
rnacentral:rRNA from 1 species